GACGAACGCUGGCGGCGUGCCUAAUACAUGCAAGUAGAACGCACAGUUUAUACCGUAGCUUGCUACACCAUAAACUGUGAGUUGCGAACGGGUGAGUAACGCGUAGGUAACCUGCCUGGUAGCGGGGGAUAACUAUUGGAAACGAUAGCUAAUACCGCAUAAUAUUAAUUAUUGCAUGCUAAUUGAUUGAAAGAUGCCAUUGCAUCACUACCAGAUGGACCUGCGUUGUAUUAGCUAGUAGGUGAGGUAACGGCUCACCUAGGCGACGAUACAUAGCCGACCUGAGAGGGUGAUCGGCCACACUGGGACUGAGACACGGCCCAAGCUCCUACGGGAGGCAGCAGUAGGGAAUCUUCGGAAAUAGACGGAAGGCUGACCGAGCAACGCCGCGGGAGUGAAGAAGGGUGUCGGAUCGUAAAGCUCUGUUGUAAGAGAAGAAAGGGUGUGAGAGUGGAAAGUUCACACUGUGACGGUAUCUUAACAGAAAGGGACGGCUAACUACGUG
rnacentral:rRNA from 1 species